AACUCUGUCAAAGAAGGUAAAAGCUGGUAUGAGAAGUGCUGCUUUUGACGGAAAUCUGUACGGUGGCCCUGAAGCUCAAAUUCACAUCCAAAAUACAUAUUAAAGAUUAUUUAAAAAAGCAAAACAAAUAAUGAAAAAAAAACAACAUUACAUUUCAGAAGACAAAACAUUCCAGAAACCAAAGGAUUUGCCCUUCAGGGCCACCGUACAUCUGUCUCUAUUCAGCAACUACAAGAUGCAGGAGGAUCAUACUUGCAGCCCUGAUGAAGUCUUUAUGCAGCCUGUAGGUCAGUAGAGGUUCUGCCAAACACCU